AACCUGCCAGACAGGGAAACUGCGUACGGCUCAUGACACCAGCCUUAAUUUACUUGACCUUGACAACCUACUUGGAUAACUGUGGUAAUUCUAGAGCUAAUACAUGCACCAAAGCUCCGAUCCUCGCGGAGAGGAGCGCAUUUGUUCGCCACAAAACCAAGCGCCCAUCUGGGCGUCCAGUGCUGAACCAGAACAACUCAGCUGAUCGCACGGUCUUGUACCGGCGACGUGUCUUUCAAGUGUCUGCCUUAUCAACUUUCGAUGGUAGUGUACCUGACUACCAUGGUUGUGACGGGUAACGGAGGAUAAGGGUUCGACUCCGGAGAAGGGGCCUGAGAAAUGGCCACUACGUCUAAGGAUGGCAGCAGGCGCGCAAAUUACCCACUCUCAACGCGAGGAGGUAGUGACGAGAAAUAACGAGACCGUUCUCAUACGAGGCCGGUUAUUGGAAUGGGUACAAUUUAAA
rnacentral:rRNA from 1 species